rnacentral:rRNA from 1 species
UACAAUGGAGAGUUUGAUCCUGGCUCAGGAUGAACGCUAGCGGCAGGCCUAAUACAUGCAAGUCGAACGGUAACAUGAAUAGCAAUAUUUGAUGACGAGUGGCGCACGGGUGCGUAACGCGUAUGCAACCUACCUUAAACUGGAGAAUAGCCCCGAGAAAUCGGGAUUAAUACUCCAUAGUAUUACGAUUAGACAUCUUUUUGUAAUUAAAGUUCCAACGGUUUAAGAUGGGCAUGCGUGACAUUAGUUUGUUGGUGAGGUAACGGCUCACCAAGACUUCGAUGUCUAGGGGUUCUGAGAGGAUUAUCCCCCACACUGGUACUGAGACACGGAC